CCAGAUUGUGAGCUCCCUCCCUCCCCCCAAAAGCUGACUCACUGUGAGUGACCUUGGGCAAGUUCCCAAACCUCCUUGUGCCUCAGUUUCCCCAUCUGGAAAAAAUGGGGCCACCUCUUGCCAGCAGUAGCAGGGCCGCCCAUGCCCCUUCCCCCCCCCACCCCGUGCCCCCAUCCAGCACUUGGGCACCUCGUGCCUCUGCCUCAGUGGGCCCUCGGGAGCCCACCUGAGCCCAGCACUUUCCCUGCCCGCCAGACUCUGCCUCCGGCUCAGCGUCAGCUGCUGCAAGCCAGGGUGUGGUGCGGUGGGGUGGGGAUGCCCCCUUUUCUAUAUUUAUUUCAUGAAAGUCUCCCAAGGGAGCACAGGCGCAGUCGGUCCAGGGUCAGAGGCAGGGUCGUCCCGGCAGAGCCCCUGCCCAGGGGCCUGAUCACGAUUCUGGCGAAGCAAAGGAGAGCUUGGGUCUGCCCUCGCUGGGUGCCACACGCUGAGAGAAGUCCUGUUGUAAAGACACAACAAAAUGGAAAAAGUCACAAAAAAGUUUGUAUAAAGACAUAUUUUUGUACUACAUGGGGACUCUUCCUGCAUGUCAGCAAUAAAACUUCCUGAUCUGGAGCCAUGGGCCGUGUCGUCUGUUCUUGCCCUCCCUGCCUCUCCCAUCCCAGCCUGGCAGCGCAGUCCCCAGCUCAGGUUCCCAUAGCUCCUAGCCCUGCCAGCACACCACCCUGCCAGCAGGUGGCACCAGCCUCCUGGUCUUGACCUUGGGAGGAAGCCAGGACUUCCCAGCAAGCUCCCAACCCUCAUCAAGUACCCAAAGCAAGACUCCUGCUUGGCUGCAUGUGGCAACCAGGGCCACUGUGGCUGGAAGAAUGUGGAUCCCCCCUCUAGCUAGCCAGACUGCCCACCUGCCCAGCCAGCGCAGCUGGGGUCAGGAGAGGGCCAGGCCAGGCCUUUUCCUGUACCACCCGCCCCUUCCCUCCUGCCCCAUAGGAAGCCAAGCGGGGUCUUCCUUCCUUUCUUCUUUCCUUCCUUCCUCUGCCUAAAUUUAGACUUUGCGAGUGCACAUCCAGAGCAUUGAAGCCAGAAGCAGGCUAGCCCCUCCCCCAGCACGGCAGACCCACAGAGUUCAUGAGCCAGUGCCCAAGCCCAGG
rnacentral:lncRNA from 1 species